rnacentral:rRNA from 1 species
AUUGAACGCUGGCGGCAGGCCUAACACAUGCAAGUCGAGCGGAUGAAGGGAGCUUGCUCCUGGAUUCAGCGGCGGACGGGUGAGUAAUGCCUAGGAAUCUGCCUGGUAGUGGGGGAUAACGUCCGGAAACGGGCGCUAAUACCGCAUACGUCCUGAGGGAGAAAGUGGGGGAUCUUCGGACCUCGCGCUAUCAGAUGAGCCUAGGUCGGAUUAGCUAGUUGGUGGGGUAAAGGCCUACCAAGGCGACGAUCCGUAACUGGUCUGAGAGGAUGAUCAGUCACACUGGAACUGAGACACGGUCCAGCCUCCUACGGGAGGCAGCAGUGGGGAUAUUGGACAAUGGGCGAAAGCCUGAUCCAGCCAUGCCGCGUGUGUGAAGAAGGUCUUCGGAUUGUAAAGCACUUUAAGUUGGGAGGAAGGGCAGUAAGUUAACACCUUGCUGUUUUGACGUUACCAACAGAAUAAGCACCGGCUAACUUCGUG